GACAGAGGGUGCAAACGUUGUUCGGAAUUACUGGGCGUAAAGCGCGUGUAGGCUGUUCGGAAAGUCGGAUGUGAAAGCCCUGGGCUCAACCCAGGAAGUGCAUUCGAAACUCCCGAACUGGAGUCCUGGAGAGGAAGGCGGAAUUCUCGGUGUAGAGGUGAAAUGCGUAGAGAUCGGCAGGAACACCCAGGGGGAAACCAGCGGACUGGGCAUCAGCUGACGCUCAGGUGCGACAGCGUGGGGAGCGAACCGG
rnacentral:rRNA from 1 species